UCGAGAAUCUUCGGCAAUGGGGGCAACCCUGACCGAGCGACGCCGCGUGCGGGACGAAGGCCUUCGGGUUGUAAACCGCUGUCAGUUGGGAGGAAGUGCCGGGGGGUUCUCCCCUCGGUUUGACCGAUCUUCAGAGGAAGGACGGGCUAAGUUCGUGCCAGCAGCCGCGGUAAGACGAACCGUCCAAACGUUAUUCGGUAUCACUGGGCUUAAAGCGUGCGUAGGCGGCCUGGUAGGUGAGGUGUGAAAGCCCACGGCUCAACCGUGGAAUUGCGCUUCAAACCACCAGGCUGGAGGAUGGCAGGGGUGAUGGGAACUGAUGGUGGAGCGGUGAAAUGCGUUGAUAUCAUCAGGAACACCGGUGGCGAAGGCGCAUCACUGGGCCAUUUCUGACGCUGAG
rnacentral:rRNA from 1 species